AUUGAACGCUGGCGGCAUGCCUUACACAUGCAAGUCGAACGGUAACAGGUUAAGCUGACGAGUGGCGAACGGGUGAGUAAUAUAUCGGAACGUGCCCAGUCGUGGGGGAUAACGUAGCGAAAGCUACGCUAAUACCGCAUACGAUCUACGGAUGAAAGCGGGGGAUCGCAAGACCUCGCGCGAUUGGAGCGGCCGAUAUCAGAUUAGGUUGUUGGUGAGGUAAAAGCUCACCAAGCCUGCGAUCUGUAGCUGGUCUGAGAGGACGACCAGCCACACUGGAACUGAGACACGGUCCAGACUCCUACGGGAGGCAGCAGUGGGGAAUUUUGGACAAUGGACGCAAGUCUGAUCCAGCAAUGCCGCGUGCAGGACGAAGGCCUUCGGGUUGUAAACUGCUUUCGUACGGAACGAAACGGUGAGCUCUAAUAUAGUUUGCUAAUGACGGUACCGUAAGAAUAAGCACCGGCUAACUACGUGCCAGCCGCCGCAGUAACAC
rnacentral:rRNA from 1 species